GCGCUCACGUAAACCCAUCUGAUAAGAAUACGGAAUACAUUAGGGAUAUGACAAAAAUAAAAAGUUUUUGGAUGUAUAUCACCGUUUCUAAAAGUUUUAAAUCUGAAGAGUUUGCAGGCUGGCUAUAAUUGUUGGUACGAAUAAGGCGCGAGAUCAUAUUUAACUUUUGAACUGAUUCAACGAAAAACUGAUUUAAAAGCUUGAACUGAUGAACAAGAAGCAACACUGUCAGUGUUAGAACUCGACAACGAAGAGAAUAACUGUGGGCAUGUGAAUCUGAGACCGAUCAAACAGGUCCAUCUGAUGUCAUCUGCAUGUUGCCUUUGGUUUUGCUUCAGUCCGUAGCUACGUAAGACAAAAGUGUACAGACAAGUGGAAGGAAUGAAGGUGUUCUCCGAAAAACAUAAAAAGGGAGUCAUGUCACUAAUGGUACAGACCACCCAAAGAGAGGAGCACACAUUGGCUGCAUUCUGCUUGAUCUGCGUACCACGCUACCCAAACAAUCCCUAUGCUGAGCGGUUGACAGGUGUCUCAGAUCUCCUGUAAGGUUGGUGAAACUGGAGGAUGGGAAAGGAAGA